AAUAAAGUAAGCUAAGUUUAAGCUGUUGGGUUCAUACCCCAGAAAUAGAUAUAUAUUCUCUUUAUUA
rnacentral:tRNA from 1 species